CGUGUUAUUAAAUACAGAACUCGAAAUACUAUUAUAUAAACUAUUAUAAAAAUAUUAAAAGAUACUAAGAAAUGUUUGGGUCGAAGUGAUACGUUAAAUAUAUAUAUUACAAAUGAAUUAAGUAGAUAUAAAAUUUUUACUAUUAUAGUUCCAGUCUUUAGCAGCAGCAUAUCCGAAUGUCCUUUUCAUUGAAUUUGUUUUAGGCUUCGACAACAACAGCAUCUUGUUAUUACUUCUUAAAUUAUAUUUAUCAGAAUUUGAGAUUUUAAACAUAGUUGAAACGUUUUCAGGACAUUGGUUUGAAAGG